AGUGAACGCUGGCGGUAGGCCUAACACAUGCAAGUCGAACGGCAGCACAGUAAGAGCUUGCGCUUACGGGUGGCGAGUGGCGGACGGGUGAGGAAUACAUCGGAAUCUACUCUUUCGUGGGGGGUAACGUAGGGAAACUUACGCUAAUACCGCAUAUGACCUACGGGUGAAAGCAGGGGAUCUUCGGACCUUGUGCGAUUGAAUGAGCCGAUGUCGGAUUAGCUAGUUGGCGGGGUAAAGGCCCACCAAGGCGACGAUCCGUAGCUGGUCUGAGAGGAUGAUCGGCCACACUGGAGCUGAGACACGGUCCAGACGCCUGCGGGAGGCAGCAGUGUGGAAUAUUAGGCAAUAGUCGCAAGCAUGAUCCAGCCGUACCGCGUGGGUGAAGAAGGCCUUCGGGUUGUAAAGCCCUUUUGUUGGGAAAGAAAAGCAGCAGGUUAAUACCCCGCUGUUCUGACGGUACCCAAAGAAUAAGCACCGGCUAACUUCGUG
rnacentral:rRNA from 1 species